AUUGCACGCUGGCGGCAGGCCUAACACAUGCAAGUCGAGCGGAGCGGCGGACGGGUGAGGAAUGGCUAGGAAUCUGCCUGGUAGUGGGGGAUAACGUCCAGAAACGGGCGCUAAUACCGCAUACUAUCAGAUGAGCCUAUGUCGGAUUAGCUAGUGGGUGGGGUAAAUGCCUACCAAGGUGACGAUCCGUAACUGGUCUGGGAGGAUGAUCAGUCACAUUGGAACUGAGCCACGGUCGCGACUCCUACGUGAGGCAGCAGUGGGGAAUAUUGGACAAUGGGCGAAAGCCUGAUCCAGCCAUGCCGCGUGUGUGAAGAAGGUCUUCGGAUUGUAUAGCACUUUAAGUUGGGAGGCGUUACCAACAGAAUAAGCACCGGCUAACUCCGUGCCAGCAGCCGCGGUAAUAC
rnacentral:rRNA from 1 species